rnacentral:rRNA from 1 species
GACGAACGCUGGCGGCAUGCCUAAUACAUGCAAGUAGAACGCUGAAGGAGGAGCUUGCUUCUCUGGAUGAGUUGCGAACGGGUGAGUAACGCGUAGGUAACCUGCCUGGUAGCGGGGGAUAACUAUUGGAAACGAUAGCUAAUACCGCAUAAGAGUAGAUGUUGCAUGACAUUUGCUUAAAGGGUGCAAUUGCAUCACUACCAGAUGGACCUGCGUUGUAUUAGCUAGUUGGUGGGGUAACGGCUCACCAAGGCGACGAUACAUAGCCGACCUGAGAGGGGGAUCGGCCAAACUGGGAAUGAGACACGGCCCAGAAUCCUACGGGAAGCAGCAGUAGGGAAUCUUCGGCAAUGGACGGAAGUCUGACCGAACAACGCCGGGUGAGUGAAGAAGGGUUUCGGAUCGUAAAGCUCUGUUGUAAGAGAAGAUCGAGUGUGAGAGUGGAAAGUUCACACUGUGACGGUAUCUUACCAGAAAGGGACGGCUAACUACGUG